rnacentral:rRNA from 1 species
AUUGAACGCUGGCGGCAGGCCUAACACAUGCAAGUCGAGCGGAGCGGCGGCCGGGUGAGUAAUGCCUAGGAAUCUGCCUGGUAGUGGGGGAUAACGUCCGGAAACGGGCGCUACUACCUCAUACUAUCCGAUGAGCCUCGGUCGGAUUAGCUAGUUGGUGGGGUAAAGGCCUACCAAGGCGACGAUCCGUAACUGGACUGAGAGGAUGAUCAGUCACACUGGAACUGAGACACGGUCCAGACUCCUACGGGAGGAAGCAGUGGGGAAGAUUGGACAAUGGGCGAAAGCCUGAUCCAGCCAUGCCGCGUGUGUGAAGAAGGUAUUCGGAGUGUAAAGCACUUUAAGUUGGGAGGCGUGACCAAAAGAAUAAGCAACGGCUAACGUCGUGCCAGCAGCCGCGGUAAGAC